rnacentral:sRNA from 1 species
ACAAGUGUUAUGCUAACGCUUGUAAUACUUUUGAUAUGUGACUAUUUGUUUAUCUAUAAUUUCUUGAUACAACACUUCUUUCUACACAUCAUUUUUUAUUACAAAAUAAACACACUUGAUGUGUAUUUGGAGGUACUUAAUAUGAAUAACGGUACAGUAAAAUGGUUUAACGCAGACAAAGGUUUUGGAUUUAUCACUGGUGAAGAUGGAAAUGACGUAUUUGCUCACUUUUCAGCUAUCCAAGGCGACGGCUUCAAAACUUUAGAAGAAGGCCAAGCAGUUUCUUUCGACGUAGAAGAAGGACAACGCGGACCUCAAGCAACUAACAUCGUUAAAGCGUAAUUACAUUUAACAUUCGAGAGUAUAGGCAGAUUGCUUAUACUCUUUU